AAGUCGUAACAAGGUUUCCGUAGGUGAACCUGCGGAAGGAUCAUUAACGAGUAACUGAACGGGUUGUAGCUGGCCUUUCGGGGCAUGUGCACACCUGGCUCAUCCACUCUUCAACCUCUGUGCACUUGUUGUAGGUCGGUAGAAGAGCGAGCAUUUAAUGCUUGCUUGGAAGCCUUCCUAUGUUUUACUACAAACGCUUCAGUUUAAGAAUGUUUACCUGCGUAUAACGCAUUUAUAUACAACUUUCAGCAACGGAUCUCUUGGCUCUC
rnacentral:misc_RNA from 1 species